ACGUCCUACGGGGCGCAGCAGUGAGGAAUAUUGGUCAAUGGCCGAGAGGCUGAACCAGCCAAGUCGCGUGAGGGAUGACGGCCCUACGGGUUGUAAACCUCUUUUGUCGGGGAGCAAAGAGAGUCACGUGUGGCUCAUUGAGAGUACCCGAAGAAAAAGCAUCGGCUAACUCCGUGCCAGCAGCCGCGGUAAUACGGAGGAUGCGAGCGUUAUCCGGAUUUAUUGGGUUUAAAGGGUGCGCAGGCGGAAGGUCAAGUCAGCGGUAAAAUUGAGAGGCGAAACCUCUUCGAGC
rnacentral:rRNA from 1 species